rnacentral:misc_RNA from 1 species
GCAUGCACGUGUUGAUUCUGCAAAAACAUCUCAUUCAGCUGCAAUUUGAUCCAAAAGCCUUUUGAGUUUGGAACAUCUACCCUUACUAGCAUUGACUCCACUUGCUAAUUGAAGGCUCCAUGAAUAUGAAGAAUAGAAAAGAUUACUGAUACAACAACGUUUUGUCUUCUAGAUUUUCCUUGCUGGAAAAAAACAAUCUCUGUACGGAACCAUAUACAAUGACAUCCAUGGAGACCAGCAUUGAAU